CUGGUUCAAACCGGUUUCGAUCUUAUAUUUCACUGUAUAAACUACAAAAACAUUCGUUUGCAUUAUACAUUCGCCAUUUUACACAGCGACUGCUCGGCUGUCGUGUGUUGUCUCUCCGAAAAAGCCUGUUUUAACAGCUGUAUUUUUUUUGAGCAUUCAGUUCAUUUUCAGCUACUAACAUGGGAAAAGCAAAGCAAACCGUCCCUCCUGAGCAAAGAAGAACUUCACCGCGACUGGCACUGAAACCUAAAGCAGCACCAGUGGAGACCAAGAAAAAAGCUGCUGCAAAGAAGGCACCCAAAGCAAAGAAGGCCAAGCCAGCUGAGAAUGGCAACACCAAGGCUGAGGAGCCAAAGGCCGAAGCCACCGAAGCCAAAUAAAUAACCGUUGAUGUGCUCACUCUGUGUACUUGGUGAUUGUACAGUUUUAAAUAAGUAUUUUUUACCAAGUUUUAUAUUACAAAUGUCAUUUAUAGGUUUGUUUUGGGCUUGCACUUGAUGUAACAAAACUUUGUUUUCACAUUCAUAUCCAUUUUAUAUCAAUUUUAAAACGAUUACCGUCCAUAUCGUGUAGACGUGGCAUUUUUAGUUUGUCUAAUUUGUUUUUGUUUUAUUUGAAACUGCUGAGGAAUAGAUAUUUUUAAGUUGGAUUUUGAAUCUAAUUGUAAACAUAAGGCAGCUAAAGCAUAUUAAAAUUUGCAAGACGAUAGGAUAUUGCAUUUUAUCGCUUGCAUUUUAAUGUUGAACUAAUGAAACAAUUUCUUACCAAAUGUCUUGACAUGGUGUAUGUUGACUUAAAAUCUAGUCAGUUGAAAUGCCACAGAAAAUUACUGUUAUUAGGUCAAAAGAUUGAUAGUUCCCAAAAACAUGUAUGAUGUGAAUCUGGUCAUCUGAUGAAAACUUCUGUUAAGUUAUGUUUCUAUUAGUGGAAGAAGAGGCUUUUCUGGCUUCAGUGGUUGAUCUAAAUGUUCCUAAAUAAAAAAAAUAAAAAAUUUUCAAAAUGUC